UACGGGGGGAGCAAGCGUUGUCCGGAUUUACUGGGCGUAAAGGGCGCGUAGGCGGCGUGACAAGUCACUUGUGAAAUCUCCGGGCUUAACCCGGAGCGGUCAAGUGAUACUGUCGUGCUAGAGUGCGGAAGGGGCUACUGGAAUUCUCGGUGUAGCGGUGAAAUGCGUAGAUAUCGAGAGGAACACCUGCGGCGAAGGCGGGUAGCUGGGCCGACACUGACGCUGAUGCGCGAAAGCCAGGGGAGCGAACGGG
rnacentral:rRNA from 1 species